UGGGCGCCNANCGGGCGCANGCGGNUNUNCAANACAGAUGUGAAANCCCCGGGCUNAACCUGGGAACUGCAUUUGUGACUGCACGGCUNGAGUGCGGCAGAGGGGGAUGGAAUUCCGCGUGUAGCAGUGAAAUGCGUAGAUAUGCGGAGGAACACCGAUGGCGAAGGCAAUCCCCUGGNCCUGCACUGACGCUCAUGCACGAAAGCGUGGGGAGCAAACAGGAUUAGAUACCCUGGUAGUCCACGCCCUAAACGAUGUCAACUGGUUGUUGGGANGGUUNCUUCUCAGUAACGUAGCUAACGCGUGAAGUUGACCGCCUGGGGAGUACGGCCGCAAGGUUGAAACUCAAAUAUUUGGACCGGNCCNAC
rnacentral:rRNA from 1 species